rnacentral:ribozyme from 1 species
UUUUGUUUUUUUUUGUUUUUUUUCCCUUGCCCCUCCCACGCGGAGAAUCGCUUCCCCUUCUCAUUCUGCCCCUCCCUUAACGAUCUCUACAGAAUCGAGAUGAGCGCUG